UACGUAGGGGGCAAGCGUUGUCCGGAAUCAUUGGGCGUAAAGAGCGUGUAGGCGGCCAGAUAAGUCCGCUGUGAAAUCUCGAGGCUCAACUUCGAGCUGUCGGUGGAAACUGUCUGGCUAGAGUCCGGAAGAGGAGAAUGGAAUUCCUGGUGUAGCGGUGAAAUGCGCAGAUAUCAGGAGGAACACCGAUGGCGAAGGCAGGUCUCUGGGCCAUAACUGACGCUGAGAAGCGAAAGCAUGGGGAGCGAACAGG
rnacentral:rRNA from 1 species